GCCCUUUUCACAUUGUACUACUGUGUCUCACUGUCAGAAGCAGUGCAAUAUCAAAAGGGCAU
rnacentral:pre_miRNA from 1 species